rnacentral:rRNA from 1 species
UACGAAGGGGGGCUAGCGUUGUUCGGAUUUACUGGGCGUAAAGCGCACGUAGGCGGUUUGUUAAGUGAGAGGUGAAAUCCCAGAGCUCAACUCUGGAACUGCCUUUCAUACUGGCAAGCUAGAGUCCGGAAGAGGUAAGUGGAACUCCUAGUGUAGAGGUGGAAUUCGUAGAUAUUAGGAAGAACACCAGUGGCGAAGGCGGCUCACUGGCCCGGAACUGACGCUGAGAUGCGAAAGCGUGGGGGAGCAAACAGG